AUUUAAGGAGGUUAUUGCUUGGAAAACUGCUCGAGCUCCCGGGCUGGCAUGCACUGCAGGUACAGUGAAAUCAAUUAUGCAGGUUCUUGAAGAAAGUCAUGGAUGACAACAAUGUAUGAAUUACCAGACCAAGGGAUACCAAUGUUUUUUUGACGGUAUACUUGCUCCAGCUACUCAGCUUACUGUGAGAGAGUUAACACCUUAUUGACAUAUCUUUCAUGAAGAAGAAACACUUGAGAAGAGUUCAAGAGUUAAAUUUUAUAGAUGCAUGUUAUCUUCAAAAUGAGGGACUUGUCAACUUUUACAAUUCCAAGGUCAGGAAAUAAUUCAUGAGCAGCAACAUGCUACUGGGAGAAAGGAAAACAAUAGAAGACUGCCUGCAUGAGAAUAAAAGUUCUGGACUCUGAAAAGGAAUAUAUAUGUGACAAAAUAUAUAUUUGGACAGUUGUUGAUUUCCACAAAAAUGCAUGUC